rnacentral:rRNA from 1 species
UACAGAGGUCUCAAGCGUUGUUCGGAUUCAUUGGGCGUAAGGGGUGCGUAGGCGGCGCGGAAAGUUGGGUGUGAAAUCCCUCGGCUCAACCGAGGACUGCGCCCAAAACUACCGUGCUCGAGGGAGAUAGAGGUGAGCGGAACUUAGGGUGGAGCGGUGAAAUGCGUUGAUAUCCUAAGGAACACCGGUGGCGAAAGCGGCUCACUGGAUCUCUUCUGACGCUGAGGCACGAAAGCUAGGGUAGCGAACGGG